UACGUAGGCAGCAAGCGUUGUUCGGAAUUACUGGGCGUAAAGAGUGUGUAGGCGGUGCUCUAAGUUUGGUGUGAAAUCUCCCGGCUCAACUGGGAGGGUGCAUCGAAAACUGGAGUGCUCGAGGGUGGGAGAGGUAAGCGGAAUUCCUGGUGUAGCGGUGAAAUGCGUAGAUAUCAGGAGGAACACCGGUGGUGUAGACGGCUUUCUGGACCGUAACUGACGCUGAGACACGAAAGCGUGGGUAGCAAACAGG
rnacentral:rRNA from 1 species